rnacentral:tRNA from 1 species
GGGCCCGUAGCUCAACUUGGACAGAGCGGCAGACUUCUAAUCUGAUGGUUGGGGGUUCAAAUCCCUUCGGGCCCA